CAGUAGCACCUGUCAUCUUUGAAGUGUACUUUUUGACGUAUUGGAAGAAUUCUUUUCAAUUUCAAAAAAAGUAGGUAAAUAAAAAUUUUUGUGAAAAGAAAAAUGUCGGUAUCAAAAUGAAAUCAUGCUGAAAAAAGAUGCAAAUUUUUUAUCACAUGGAAUUUGUCUUGGAUGGAAGGCAGAUUUGCAACCUGGACAGACGCCCCCAUUUAUAUCCAUAAGUCUAGUGCCACGAAGCAUCAACAACAGCAUCUAAAACAGCAACAUCAACUACAACAACUGCUGACUCCUGAUAUGAUGCGCCAUUCCAUUUUUUCAUAAAUCUCGGCUGCAGAAAUUAAUUCGAGGACAAGCACAAGAUGCAAAUAUAUCACAUGGAAUGAAUGAAACAAAUAAUGGACACAGAGCCUCCGCCAAAAGUACAAAUAUUCUCUGGCUCAAUUGGAACAAUCGCCUAUACAGCCAGGGCAACAAAUGUCCGAAAUGGGAUCUAACGUAAAGUUAAGGAAUUGAAUAAAUACUUCAAAUAUGAGAUUUUCUACUCAACGCUUUUUUUAUAUUUCCAGUUCCUACGGAAUACUUCCAACAUUUAGAUCACAUUGGCCAACGUGUGGACAAUGUAAAUCGUGACAAUCGUAAACAGUUGGAAUGAUUUGGGAGCGAGAAAUAGCUCAGAGAUGCUGAACAUUUUGGGUAACUUUGUCAAUCGAGCUUUGGUGUUCUGUGAAAAGAACUACGACUCGACCAUUCCACCGAUGACUUUGACUUUGAAACAAAGCAAAGCAGAUAAGUCAGUUUGACUCCUACUCCCGCAAAUGAUGACAACAAAAUCAAAGAACUUGAAGAAAAAAUUGCAAAACAGGGUGAAAAAGUUCGAGAACUAAAGAGUUCAUCUGAUACUGCCGUUUGGAAGUUCUCGAGAAGGAACUUUCUGCCAUUACUGGUGUAACAGAAUCAACAGCUUCAGGAAAGAACAAGAAGAAGAAAUGAUUAAGUACUACUUAAGAAAUUAACAAAAAACCAAAACUAUUUUUGUCUAAGAAAUUUCUUUAUUUUUUGUUUUUACGUGGCUGGAUCAUGGGGGUUGCGGGUGCUCGCCGCCCAUGGAUUCUUGCAGUAAGGGCCUUAAGUCAAUAAAAUCCCAAUUUUUUAAUGAAAAUUAAACAAUAAAUAAUAAUGUACAUGUUUUUCGAAUAAAAAAAAACUGAGUAAAACAAUAAAAACUCCAUAAAUUAA